rnacentral:miRNA from 14 species
AGCAGGAAGUGGCUGCCGCAGGUUCAAGCAACUUCCAGUGAUGAAAUCUUCCGGAGAGAAUCCUCUUCUCUGGAGUGUUACAGCUAGAUAAGACAGACACUCUCUCAUGAUCUUUGGUGA